UUGAAAUUGCUAUUAAGCUGGUGAAAACAGAGCUACAAAGCCCAGAACACCCAUUGGACCAACACUAUAGAAACCUACAUUGUGCCUUGCGCCCCCUUGACCAUGAAAGUUAUGAGUUCAAAGUGAUUUCCCAGUACCUACAAUCUACCCAUGCUCCCACACACAGCGACUAUACCAUGACCUUGCUGGAUUUGUUUGAAGUGGAGAAGGAUGGUGAGAAAGAAGCCUUCAGAGAGGACCUUCAUAACAGGUCUGAGUCUAGCUUUGCGUUUGGAAAGACACUCCUUGCCCGAAAGUACAGCUGUAGAACUUAUAAGAGGGAGUCAGAGGAAGGUGUUGGCUUUUUUAUGCUUAUGGCCUAUCUGUGCAGAACAACAGAGUACAAUAAUAUUGGCUUUUCCUUAGGAUGCUUCUAUGGCAUGGUUCCAGGAUGAGUAACUGGGUGGGAAUCUUGAGCCAUGGGCUUCGAAUUGCCCCACCUGAAGCUCCCAUCACAGGUUACAUGGUGAGUGAAAUUGAACUCUGGGAGGAGCACAGGGGAAAGGGAUACAGUAAUGUUCUCAGUG
rnacentral:lncRNA from 1 species